AGAGUUUGAUCCUGGCUCAGGAUGAACGCUGGCGGCGCGCCUAACACAUGCAAGUCGAACGGCACCUGCCUUCGGGCAGAAGCGAGUGGCGAACGGCUGAGUAACACGUGGAGAACCUGCCCCCUCCCCCGGGAUAGCCGCCCGAAAGGACGGGUAAUACCGGAUACCCCGGGGGGGCGCAUGGCACCCCGGCUAAAGCCCCGACGGGAGGGGAUGGCUCCGCGGCCCAUCAGGUAGACGGCGGGGUGACGGCCCACCGUGCCGACAACGGGUAGCCGGGUUGAGAGACCGACCGGCCAGAUUGGGACUGAGACACGGCCCAGACUCCUACGGGAGGCAGCAGUGGGGAAUCUUGCGCAAUGGGGGGAACCCUGACGCAGCGACGCCGCGUGCGGGACGGAGGCCUUCGGGUCGUAAACCGCUUUCAGCAGGGAAGAGUCAAGACUGUACCCGCAGAAGAAGCCCCGGCUAACUACGUGCCAGCAGCCGCGGUAAUACGUAGGGGGCGAGCGUUAUCCGGAUUCAUUGGGCGUAAAGCGCGCGUAGGCGGCCCGGCAGGCCGGGGGUCGAAGCGGGGGGCUCAACCCCCCGAAGCCCCCGGAACCUCCGCGGCUUGGGUCCGGUAGGGGAGGGUGGAACACCCGGUGUAGCGGUGGAAUGCGCAGAUAUCGGGUGGAACACCGGUGGCGAAGGCGGCCCUCUGGGCCGAGACCGACGCUGAGGCGCGAAAGCUGGGGGAGCGAACAGGAUUAGAUACCCUGGUAGUCCCAGCCGUAAAACGAUGGACGCUAGGUGUGGGGGGACGAUCCCCCCAUGCCGCAGCCAACGCAUUAAGCGUCCCGCCUGGGGAGUACGGCCGCAAGGCUAAAACUCAAAGGAAUUGACGGGGGCCCGCACAAGCAGCGGAGCAUGUGGCUUAAUUCGAAGCAACGCGAAGAACCUUACCAGGGCUUGACAUAUGGGUGAAGCGGGGGAGACCCCGUGGCCGAGAGGAGCCCAUACAGGUGGUGCAUGGCUGUCGUCAGCUCGUGUCGUGAGAUGUUGGGUUAAGUCCCGCAACGAGCGCAACCCCCGCCGCGUGUUGCCAUCGGGUGAUGCCGGGAACCCACGCGGGACCGCCGCCGUCAAGGCGGAGGAGGGCGGGGACGACGUCAAGUCAUCAUGCCCCUUAUGCCCUGGGCUGCACACGUGCUACAAUGGCCGGUACAGAGGGAUGCCACCCCGCGAGGGGGAGCGGAUCCCGGAAAGCCGGCCCCAGUUCGGAUUGGGGGCUGCAACCCGCCCCCAUGAAGUCGGAGUUGCUAGUAAUCGCGGAUCAGCAUGCCGCGGUGAAUGCGUUCCCGGGCCUUGUACACACCGCCCGUCA
rnacentral:rRNA from 1 species